rnacentral:rRNA from 1 species
GACGAACGCUGGCGGCGUGCUUAACACAUGCAAGUCGAGCGGUAAGGCCUUUCGGGGUACACGAGCGGCGAACGGGUGAGUAACACGUGGGUGAUCUGCCCUGCACUUCGGGAUAAGCCUGGGAAACUGGGUCUAAUACCGGAUAUGACCUCCUAUCGCAUGGUGGGUGGUGGAAAGAUUUAUCGGUGCAGGAUGGGCCCGCGGCCUAUCAGCUUGUUGGUGGGGUAAUGGCCUACCAAGGCGACGACGGGUAGCCGACCUGAGAGGGUGACCGGCCACACUGGGACUGAGACACGGCCCAGACUCCUACGGGAGGCAGCAGUGGGGAAUAUUGCACAAUGGGCGAAAGCCUGAUGCAGCGACGCCGCGUGAGGGAUGACGGCCUUCGGGUUGUAAACCUCUUUCAGCAGGGACGAAGCGCAAGUGACGGUACCUGCAGAAGAAGCACCGGCUGACUACGUG